rnacentral:rRNA from 1 species
UACGAAGGGGGCUAGCGUUGCUCGGAAUUACUGGGCGUAAAGCGCACGAGGCGGAUUGUUAAGUCGGGGGUGAAAUCCUGGAGCUCAACUCCGACGUACUCUCCUGAUACUGGCGAUCUCGAGUUCGGGAGAGGUGAGUGGAACUGCGAGUGUAGAGGUGAAAUUCGUAGAUAUUCGGCAAGAACACCAGUGGCGAAGGCGGCUCACU